AUGGCUCGCACGGUGGUGCGACAAACGGCGGCCUUAGUGGGCUCAACAGGAGGUUCCCGAUCCAGCUCGGGCCGCUGCUACCUCUUCCUCGCCGCCCAACAGGUCGCCGUGCUGUGGGAGCAGGGUAGCAUCGGGUCCACAGGCUGGGGUGGAGGCCUUCCCAACUCGGACUGCGCGUCCUCCUCUUCGCCGCAUCAUCGCCCUGGCCAGCUGAGCACCAACCCGACGGCGAUGACAUCCGAUGCCAACACACCGAGGUUAUACUCCAAUCAAACAUGUGAAUAUUUACCAGAGUGCUUCAAGAUCUAUCCAAUGAUCCACUGCCGCUCUGCUGUUGGGACUAAUUUGGACGGGAAUGGUGAUUUCAUGGUUGAUUAUGGUUACUUGGUUCUUGCUCUUGGAGUUACUGUGAAUACAUUCAACACUCCUGGUGUGAUGGAGCAUUGCCGCUUUCUGAAGGUAGUGGAGGAUGCCCAAAAGAUUCAGAAGAGCGUGAUAGACUGCUUUGAAAAGGGUCACUUCCUAACCUCGGUGAAGAGGAGAAAAGGAAGAUCCUUCACUUUGUGA
rnacentral:rRNA from 1 species